UACGGGGGGGGGCAAGCGUUGUUCGGAAUUACUGGGCGUAAAGGGCUCGUAGGCGGCCAACUAAGUCAGACGUGAAAUCCCUCGGCUUAACCGGGGAACUGCGUCUGAUACUGGAUGGCUAGAGGUUGGGAGAGGGAUGCGGAAUUCCAGGUGUAGCGGUGAAAUGCGUAGAUAUCUGGGGGAACACCGGUGGCGAAGGCGGCAUCCUGGACCAAUUCUGACGCUGAGGAGCGAAAGCGUGGGGAGCGAACAGG
rnacentral:rRNA from 1 species